rnacentral:ncRNA from 1 species
AAGAGCCGGAUGCGGUAAUCCCGCAAGUCCGGUUCUGUGAGGGGUUGGGGCCAACUGAUGUAUGGUUGAAAUAUUGUGGCACUGCCGAGAAACCAGGCAGAAAACGGAGAAAACAAACCUCAACCUGUAGCAUCGGGAGAAACCGGUCUACUCGAC